rnacentral:rRNA from 1 species
AACAGGAUUAGAUACCCUGGUAGUCCACGCCGUAAACGAUGAGUGCUAAGUGUUGGAGGGUUUCCGCCCUUCAGUGCUGCAGCAAACGCAUUAAGCACUCCGCCUGGGGAGUACGACCGCAAGGUUGAAACUCAAAGGAAUUGACGGGGGCCCGCACAAGCGGUGGAGCAUGUGGUUUAAUUCGAAGCAACGCGAAGAACCUUACCAGGUCUUGACAUCCUUUGACCACUCUAGAGAUAGAGCUUCCCCUUCGGGGGCAAAGUGACAGGUGGUGCAUGGUUGUCGUCAGCUCGUGUCGUGAGAUGUUGGGUUAAGUCCCGCAACGAGCGCAACCCUUAUUGUUAGUUGCCAUCAUUUAGUUGGGCACUCUAGCGAGACUGCCGGUGACAAACCGGAGGAAGGUGGGGAUGACGUCAAAUCAUCAUGCCCCUUAUGACCUGGGCUACACACGUGCUACAAUGGGAAGUACAACGAGUUGCGAAGUCGCGAGGCUAAGCUAAUCUCUUAAAGCUUCUCUCAGUUCGGAUUGUAGGCUGCAACUCGCCUACAUGAAGCCGGAAUCGCUAG